rnacentral:rRNA from 1 species
AAUGAACGUUGGCGGCGUGGAUUAGGCAUGCUAAGUCGAGCGAGAAAAGUCUCUUUUGCUUGCAUUGGAGACUGGAAAGCGGCGAAAGGGAGAGUAACGCGUAGGGUACCUGCCCCCAGGUCUGGGAUAGCGGUGGGAAACCGCCGGUAAUACCGGAUAAAUGUCCCCGGACCAAAGGUGUGAUUCCGCCUGGGGAUGGUCCUGCGUCCUAUUAGUUUGUUGGUGGGGUAACGGCCUACCAAGACUUAGAUGGGUAGCGGGCGUGAGAGCGUGGCCCGUCUCACUGGGACUGAGACACUGCCCAGACACCUACGGGUGGCUGCAGUCGAGAAUCUUCCGCAAUGGACGCAAGUCUGACGGAGCGACGCCGCGUGCGGGAUGAAGGCCUUCGGGUUGUAAACCGCUGUCAGUGGGGUGGAAAUGCAUUGGGGCUAUCCCCAGUGUUUGACCUAACCGCAGAGGAAGUCCGGGCUAAGUACGUG